rnacentral:misc_RNA from 1 species
GAUGAAGAACGCAGCGAAAUGCGAAGUAGUGUGAAUUGCAGAAUUCAGUGAAUCAUCGAAUCUUUGAACGCACAUUGCGCCCCUUGGUAUCCCGAGGGGCAUGCCUGUUCGAGCGUCAUUUCACCACUCAAGCCUGGCUUGGUGUUGGGCGACGUCCUCUUUGGGGACGCGCCUCGAAACGCUCGGCGGCGUGGCACCGGCUUUAAGCGUAGCAGAAUCUUUCGCUUUGGAAGUCGGGGCCCCGUCUGCCGGAAGACCUGCUCGCAAGGUUGACCUCGGAUCAGGCAGGGAUACCCGCUGAACUUAAGCAUAUCAAUAAGCGGAGGA